rnacentral:rRNA from 1 species
AGAGUUUGAUCCUGGCUCAGAUUGAACGCUGGCGGCAGGCUUAACACAUGCAAGUCGAGCGGAAACGAUGGGAGCUUGCUCCCAGGCGUCGAGCGGCGGACGGGUGAGUAACGCGUAGGAAUCUGCCCAGUAGAGGGGGAUAGCCCGGGGAAACUCGGAUUAAUACCGCAUACGCCCUACGGGGGAAAGCAGGGGAUCUUCGGACCUUGCGCUAUUGGAUGAGCCUGCGUGAGAUUAGCUAGUUGGUGGGGUAAUGGCCUACCAAGGCGACGAUCUCUAGCUGGUCUGAGAGGAUGAUCAGCCACACUGGGACUGAGACACGGCCCAGACUCCUACGGGAGGCAGCAGUGGGGAAUAUUGGACAAUGGGGGCAACCCUGAUCCAGCCAUGCCGCGUGUGUGAAGAAGGCCUUAGGGUUGUAAAGCACUUUCAGUAGGGAGGAAGGCCCUGUAGUUAAUACCUGCAGGGAUUGACGUUACCUACAGAAGCAGCACCGGCUAACUCCGUGCCAGCAGCCGCGGUAAUUUC